rnacentral:snRNA from 14 species
GAGGAGAUACCAUGAUCAAUAAGGUGGCUUUCCCAGAGUAAGGCCUGUCCCUUGCACUCUGAGCAGACUGACUCCUGCAAUUUCCCCAAGGCAGUUCUCCCAAGGUAAGGUCUGUC